rnacentral:rRNA from 1 species
AUUGAACGCUGGCGGCAUGCUUUACACAUGCAAGUCGAACGGCAGCGGGGGCUUCGGCCCGCCGGCGAGUGGCGAACGGGUGAGUAAUGCAUCGGAACGUGCCCAGUCGUGGGGGAUAACACAUCGAAAGAUGUGCUAAUACCGCAUACGUCCUGAGGGAGAAAGCGGGGGAUCUUCGGACCUCGCGCGAUUGGAGCGGCCGAUGUCGGAUUAGCUAGUUGGUGGGGUAAAAGCCCACCAAGGCGACGAUCCGUAGCGGGUCUGAGAGGAUGAUCCGCCACACUGGGACUGAGACACGGCCCAGACUCCUACGGGAGGCAGCAGUAGGGAAUUUUCGGCAAUGGGGGAAACCCUGACCGAGCAAUGCCGCGUGAACGAUGAAGGUCUUCGGAUUGUAAAGCUCUUUCAGUGGGGAAGAUAAUGACGGUACCCACAGAGAAGCCCCGGCUAACUUCGUGCCAGCAGCCGCGGUAAGUACGCAGCGA